GGAAAAGCCAUGUGCGUCUGCUAGAUAUGCUUAUGUUAACAAGCGAAUGACCAACAUGUCAAAACUAAAGAGGAAAAUCAAUCUGUUGAGGAAAAGACAAAUGAGAGUAAUCCAUUGAAAGUAGUUGCAUUAAAACAUCUACGGGCAGGCCAUCUCUCCCUGAUAUCUUGAAGUCGUCUUGAUAAUUAACGGUUAAGCUUAUUUCCGAUCACCCACCCAACAUUCGUCUAUAGUAAACAAACGGAAUAAUCAAUCAUGCAGUGCCAUCUACAGACUAGGACCAAAACAAAUGAAUGGAGGGCCCCAUUUCGUCUAGCAUCUACUGACCUUUGAGAAGCAACUCAGUCCUCCGCUCAUUUCUACUGCUGAUGCUGUGUCAUGGUUGGAGAGAUCUGAAUUAAGUGAUGUGGAGAGAAUCUGGGCUCUUACCUGGUGGGCCCUUUGCCCAACCCUGCAGCCAGACCAGGAAGAAUGUGUUCCACAGCUGCCUCCAUCCUCAUCCAUGUUCCCUCAGAGAGCUCCUUUAGAAAAAAGUAAAUGAUUGGAGGUGGUACAGUCCAGAUGAAGACGUUAAUGCUCCUCCUGGUCUGCCUGCUCCAUCUUUCCUCACUCACUCACCACAGGUGAAUGACUUUAACCCAUCUUCACACCCUCCAGUAGUACAGAACAUGGGGGAAUCUGGACCAUCACCACUCACUAAUCAAGAAAAUCAUGAAUCUCAAAUUUCUCAGCAGCACCAGUUAGAUGGAAAAAUUAAUUGUGAAGGUAAUGCAUUGUCAGACAAACAAAGUAACAAGCUCGGCCCGGCAGAAAAAGGUUCUGAAUGUAGUGAGAUGGAGCAUCAUGGGAAGACAGCCGUAAAGAGGUGCAGCUCGUUAAAGAAAGUCCCAAACUGUGAAGCAGUUGAGGGAAUUAAACUGAACACAAAGACACCUUCUGUGCACAGGUACAGACAUGACAGUUCAGCCAUGACAGGAUGGCAAGGAAAAGUGGGGGAGGGGAGUGUGUCAGAAACGCAAGUGUGUGCUGGAGGAUCUGGAGUAGGACUGGAGGUAGAAUCAGGAGCAAGAGGAUUUGGAUCAGGGCUAGGAGCAAAAGCAAGAGCAGAAGCAUAUGGAUCAGGACUGAGAGUAAAAUCAGGAGCAGGAGGUUCUGGAUCAGGGCUGGGAGCAAAAUCAGGAGCAGGAGGAUCUGGAUUAAACCGUGAAACAAAAUCAGUACCAGGUGGGUCUGGAUCCGGGCUGAAAAAGAAAUCAGGACCAGGAGGGUCUGGAUUAAGUCAGGAAACAAAAUCAGGAGCAGAAGGAUUUAGAUUAGGGUGGGAACAAAAUCUGGAUCAGGAGCAUCUGGAAUAAGUCGGAAAACAAAAUAUAGAGCAGGAGGAUUUGGAUCAGGGCUGGGAACAAAAGCAGGACCUGGAGGAUUUCGAUUAGGGCUGGGAAUAAAAUCAGUAACAGGAGGAUGUGGAUCAGAGUUGGGAGAAAAAUUAGGACCUGGAGGAUCUGGAUCAGAGCUGGGAACCAAAUCAAAAGCAGGAGGAUCUGAAGCAGGAUCUAGAUCCGGGCUGGAAGCAAAAUCAGAAGCAGGUGGACCUGGUUCAGGACUGGAGUGCUGCCCUAUGUGUCUAAAGCCGUUUCCUGCAGGACCACUUCUCAGAAAGAGGACAGACUGUGAAUGUGCUUUUGCAGAGGAGGAAGAGGAACUCUAAGAAGGACAGUUAUUCAUCAAAAUCGGUCAAAAAGUCACCAGAUUCUUGCGAGGUCCGGGAGCGCUGCGCGCUUCAGUGUGGUGGGCAGCGCAGAACGUCCUAGAACAAGGGAGGACUUUGUUGGGAGAGCAGGGAUGGCGUGCGCCCUGCCCGCUCUCUGCCCGCUUGUGUACAUUGGCUAGACUGUAGAGCACAGCCGAACAGAGGCAGCCCCAGGAGAGAGACACAAUGAAGACUCUUGUCUAGAGUGGGAGAGUGAGUUUCCCAGGGCAUAGAUAUGAGCCGAGGGCCAAAGAGGAAAAAAUGGGUGAAGAGAUGGAAAUCUUGAUGGACGGAAUGAAGGAACUUCAUGGUGGGUUGGCACGUGUAGAUUCACAGAAUGGUUUUGAGGUUUGCUGCUGGGAAGCAGCAAGCCGUCUUGGUUGGAAAAAGGAUUAAAGAGGAAAGGAAAGAGUAUUAGGGAAAGGGAAUACAAACAAAUGAAUGUGAGUGAAAAUGAGGGUAUUUUUGGGGUGAGAAAGGAAAUGUAUUAUAAACGGUUUUUUUUUAAAAAAAAAGUUACAUUUUAUACCUGGUGACCUCUCAGUUUCUGUGUGUGCUUCUUAGCCUGCAACAUACUACAAGAAACCAUUGCUCAGUACUGUAUUUUUGCAGUAUGUAAUGCACCCCACAUCAGUAAACUAUAAUAAAUUGAAUUUUUUGUUGUUGUUUUUGUUUUUAUUCAGUUAUAGUUUUCAGUGUCUGCCGUUACAAUAGUGAGGAAAACAAGUAGGAGAAGUUCAAAAACAAAUAGGGGGCUAGUUGUCACAGGGGCUAUAUCUCAGUAGCUGUAAGGUUUUGAGUCAAAAGUCCAUUAUACAAAUGUUUAUUUCAAACUUCUUUCAAAUUAUAUUUUUGAAUGAUUCUAAAUUUGAAUAAUAUGAUCAUAAUUUCAAUAUCAUCGUAUUUUUGUAAUAGAUUUUGGGUAAACAGGCAAAAAGAAUAAAACCACGCUGCCAUAAUUUAUGGCAGGGGCAAACUAUACAGUACAAUCAAGGUAGAUUUUAACCGAAAAGGAAAACUGUUCUCAGGAUGGGUAUUUUUAAUAAAUGUCAAAGUUGUCACGUCUUUUAAAUGUUGUACAUUUCUAAAAUGUUAUAUUUACAGUUCAAGAAAAAGUAUGUGAACCCUUUGGAAUUACAGGCAUUUAUGUAUAAAUUUGUCUUAAAAUCUGGUAUGUUUUUUUUUUUAUCUAAGUUACAGUAAUGAACAACCACAAUCUGUUUUAAUAAAACACAAAUUAUUGUAUUGGUCUUGUAUAUAUUGAAUACAUUAUUCAAACAUUUACAGUGUAAGUUGUAAAAAGUAUGUGAACCCCUAGGCUAAUAACAUUAACAAAAGCUAAUUUGAGUCAGGAGUUGGCAAACCUGGCAUCCAGUUAAUGGAUUGAGAUUGGAGGUGUGGGUUAGUGAUACUUGGACUUAUAAAAAGCACUCAAACAUUUCGGGUUUGCUAUUCACAAGAAGCAUGUGCUUAGAUGGACCAUGCUUAGCAAAAAAGGGAUCUCAGAAGACCUAUGAUCAAGAAUUGUUCCUUUGGAAAGGGUUCUAAAUGUAUUUCAAAGAGCUUAGAUAUUCAUCUGUCCACAGUUAGACAAAUUGACAAUUGACAGUUUAGUACUGUGGCUACUCUCUCUAGAAGUGGCCAUCCAGCCAAGAUGACUCACGGGGCACAAAGCUGAAUGCUCAGUGAGGUAAAAAAGAACUCUAGAGUGACAGCUAAAGACUUGAAGGAAUCAUUUAAACUGGUUAACAUCUCUGCUCAUGAGUCUACAAUAUGGAAAACAUUAAACAGGCAUGGUGUCCAUGGCAGGACACAACGAAGGAAGCCGCUGCUUUCCAACAAAAACUGCAUGCCUGAAGUUUGCCAAAGACCACAUUGACACUCCACAACGCUACUGAGAAAAUGUUUUGUGGACUGAUGAAACUAAGGUUGAAUUGUUUGGGAAGAACACAUCAGAAACAUCAUCCCAGUGGUGAAGUACGGUGGAGGGACCAUCAUGAUUUGGGGCUGUUUCAGGGCCAGGACUGUUUGCCAUCAUCUAAGGAAAAAUUAAUUCCCAAGUUUAUCAAGAUAUCCUGCAGAUUAAUGUCAGGGUGUAUGCUAGCUGAAGCUCAGUAGAAGUUGGGUGAUGCAGCAGGACAAUUACCCUAAACAUCGAAGUAAAUCCACUACAGAAUGGCUUCAAAAAAAUAAAAACCACCUUUUGGAGUGGCCCAGUCAGAGCCCAGACUUUAACUCAAUAGAGAUGCUGUGAAAUGAUCUCAAAAGAACCGUUCACACCACACAUCGUUAGAAUAUGGCUGAGAUAAAGCAGUUCUGCAAGGAAGAAUGGUCUAAAAUUUCUUCUAAACAAUCGACCAGUUAUUAAAUUCAAGGGUUCACGUAUUUUUUCCACUGCACCGUGAAUCUUUAAUGGGAUGUGUUCAAUAAAGAUGUAAAAGAUUAUAAUUGUUUGUGUGUUGUUAGCUUAAGCACCAUCGUGUUUGUCGAAGUCGUGUGUUGCGACUUUGAUAAAGAUGAGAUCACAUUUUAUGACCAAUUAAUGCAGAAAACCGGCUGAUUCCAAAAGGUUCACAUAUUUAUAAGUACAAUAUCUGUUGUUUCUAAACAGUGGUUUUAUAUUUUUGUUACCUUUUCCAUUUUAUGCUGUUGCAUUAAUCGUUUUGCAUUUCAUAAUUGUUUAACUGUUUAAAUCUUCAUCAAAAGUGUACAGUAGGCCAUUAAAUGGCAUGUUCCCAUUGUGUCAGCUUACCCCUGCAUACAAUAUUUUUUUUCUUGUGCAAUAAUGGAGGAUAUUAGCCAUACAGCCUAAUUUUAUAACCAAGAUUUUAAGGCAUGUUGCUAUACAGAAAAUGACUUUCAAAAAUAAACCUGAAAAUUACUCACUGGAGUAAAAAGUGACAACUAGCCCUGGUCUCCUCUAACUUAAAACCAGCACAAGUCAGUUCUGGAAAAGUGCAUGAAUUCUAACAAAGAUGUUUUCAGUGAGUACAUGUUAAGAAGGUAGAAAUGUUGGAUAGCAAGAGGAAUGAAAUAGAAGGAGCUUAAAUUAUUGAAAUGUUUCCAGAUAAAUGUUUCUUGAGCAACACUGGGGGAUAAGCUAAACUGUAAAAUAUUUAGAAACAACUUUUCUCUACAUUCCAAACCUUACGUCAACAUGCUUUGCUUCCAAAAUGUUUUAUGAAAGAAAACGAGAGAUCAAUAACUUAACAGGACUCAAAAACAGUAUUUUUCCAAAACUCAUUGUGCAAGAAAUCAGUGAUAUUGCAUUAGCACCCUCGUGUUUUAGGUUUAUAAACCACAGCUUACUGGCAAGUCCAGUUUGUACAGUAUGUAUUAAGCAGUUAGAUAUUUUUAUGGUCUAGCUGCAAGAUGUUUGAUACAUGGCAGGCCAAACUUUUAUCAGCCCUGAAAAAUUACAACAGGACAGUGGCACUGUUUUAUAUUGGAGCACCAGUGUUCUGUGUGUGUUGCUCAAUAUCAUGUUUUCCUAAAGACUUAAAAGAGUUCUUGGGUCUUUUUCAGGUUCUCCCAAAUGGAAUGUGAUAGUCAUCUUGCACAGUGUUUAUCAGAGAUGAAUGAAGAUAUUGUCUGGUGAUAACAGUCAUGUUAUAUAAACCAGUCUGCUGGAUCCCUGUGUUAUCUUCCAUAUGAUCUUUACAUUGCAUCCCAAGGAUAUGUACAGAGAUUCUAUACAUAAUUAUUCUGAACAUUAUAUACAAAAUUGGAAUUUAAAAUAAAGAUCCCAUGAGA